GACGAACGCUGGCGGCGUGCUUAACACAUGCAAGUCGAACGGAAAGGCCCUGCUUGCAGGGUACUCGAGUGGCGAACGGGUGAGUAACACGUGGGUGAUCUGCCCUGCACUUCGGGAUAAGCCUGGGAAACUGGGUCUAAUACCGGAUAGGAGCCAUUUUUAGUGUGAUGGUUGGAAAGUUUUUUUCGGUGUAGGAUGAGCUCGCGGCCUAUCAGCUUGUUGGUGGGGUAAUGGCCUACCAAGGCGGCGACGGGUAGCCGGCCUGAGAGGGUGGACUGCCACAUUGGGACUGAGAUACGGCCCAGACUCCUACGGGAGGCAGCAGUGGGGAAUAUUGCACAAUGGGCGCAAGCCUGAUGCAGCGACGCCGCGUGGGGGAUGACGGCCUUCGGGUUGUAAACUCCUUUCGCUAGGGACGAAGCUUUUUGUGACGGUACCUAGAUAAGAAGCACCGGCUAACUACGUG
rnacentral:rRNA from 1 species